CCCAGAGUGGUGUAAUAGUAGCAUCCCUAGUUGACACAUGGUAGUAUUAAACCAUGCCCUUCGGGGGCCAGGGGAUCCGGGUUCGAUUCCCGGCUCUGGGA